GACGAACCGUGCGAACGUUGUUCGGAAUCACUGGGCGUAAAGAGCGUGUAGGCGGCCAACUAAGUCCUGCGUGAAAUCUCGGGGCUCAACCCCGAGCGGUCGUGGGAAACUGGUUGGCUAGAGUGCGGGAGAGGAGAGUGGAAUUCCUGGUGUAGCGGUGAAAUGCGCAGAUAUCAGGAAGAACACCCGUGGCGAAGGCGGCUCUAUGGAACGCAACUGACGCUGAGACGCGAAAGCGUGGGGAGCAAACAGG
rnacentral:rRNA from 1 species